rnacentral:tRNA from 5 species
GCUAAGGUGGCGGAGUAGCAAUCGCAUCUGGCUGUAGACCAGACGUCCGUAAGGACUCCGGGGGUGCAAUUCCCUCCCUUAGCACCC